GUGAAUUUUAGGGCGCUCUUCUCGCUUUUAACAAGCUUGAGAGGCCUGACCUCCACUCUCCAACUCUGUGCACCUUUCGGCAUUGAAGAAACGGACGCUGGAAACGGCUGAAGUUGACUCGAUGCGGCUCUUUUUAAACAUGAGUUAAAGAAUGUAAACAAAACAUAACAAAAAAAACUUUCAACAACGGAUCUCUUGGCUCUCGCAUCGAUGAAGAACGCAGCGAAAUGUGAUAAGUAAUGUGAAUUGCAGAAUUCAGUGAAUCAUCGAAUCUUUGAACGCACCUUGCGCUCUCUGGUAUUCCGGAGAGCAUGCCUGUUUGAGUGUCAUGAACUCUUCAACCCACCGGUUCCUUGUUGGACCGUGUGGUGUUUGGAUUUUGAGCGCUUGCUAGUCGAAAGACUUUAGCUCGCUCGUAAUACAUUAGCAUCUCAAUUUCGUAAUCGGAUUGACUCAGCGUAAUAGACUAUUCGCUGAGGACACGGGGGCAACCUUGUGGCCGAACAUGAAUGAGUAUGGAAGCUUCCAACCCCUCUAGUCACCUUUAGA
rnacentral:misc_RNA from 1 species